rnacentral:rRNA from 1 species
AGUGAACGCUGGCGGUAGGCCUAACACAUGCAAGUCGAACGGCAGCACAGUAAGAGCUUGCUCUUACGGGUGGCGAGUGGCGGACGGGUGAGGAAUACAUCGGAAUCUACUUUUUCGUGGGGGAUAACGUAGGGAAACUUACGCUAAUACCGCAUACGACCUACGGGUGAAAGCAGGGGAUCUUCGGACCUUGCGCGAUUGAAUGAGCCGAUGUCGGAUUAGCUAGUUGGCGGGGUAAAGGCCCACCAAGGCGACGAUCCGUAGCUGGUCUGAGAGGAUGAGCGGCCAAAAUGGAACAGAGACACGGACGAGACGCCUAAGGGAGGCAGCAGUAGGGAAGCGGCCGCAAAGGGCGAAAGCCGGACGGAGCAACGCGGAGUGAGUGAUGAAGGCAGUCGGAUCGUAAAACUCUGUUAGGAGGGAAGAAAAAAUGGGGAAGGAACUAUGCACGGCUGGACGGUACCUAAUAAGAAAGAAACGGCUAACUACGGG